GACGAACGCUGGCGGCGUGCUUAACACAUGCAAGUCGAACGGUGACGGAGCCUGCGCUUGUUGGCCCUGGUUGCGUGUCGCACGGGGGAGUAACACGCGAGUAACCUUCCCCCUUCUUCUGGAUAACCGCAGGAAAGCUUGCCUAAUUCGGGAUAUUCUGGGUCUGUUGCAUGCUGGGUCUCGUCAAGCUUGCGCCGUUGGGUGUAGUUGGUGGGGGAUUAGCUCGUGGGCUAUGAGCUUGCCGGUCGGGGGAUGGCAUACCAAGGCGGCGACGGGUAGCCGGGAGGAGGGGGUGCACGGUCAGAAUGGGACUGAGACCCAGCCCAGACUGCUAGGGGAGGGAGCAGUGGAGAAUAUAGCACACUGGGCGCAAGCCUGAUGAAGCGGCGUCGCGUGAGAGAUGGAGGCGUUCGGGAUGUAAACCUCUUUCGCAAGAGAAGCAGGCCGGCUACUUGUGGGUGGGUUGACGGUAGCUGGAGAAGAAGCGCCGGCUAACUACGUG
rnacentral:rRNA from 1 species